CUACAUUCCAAAAUGCAGUUAACUCCUAUUUCAAAGCCUGUAGCAACAACUUUGGAGAUGAAACAUUAAAAGGACAGUGAGCUUCAUCAUUAUCUUCCAUGAAAUGAAAUAUGAGGUAUUACUUUCGGAGCAACCUACAUGUAUGUGACCCAAGACAAUUCCUCUUCACUCAAUGCAGCCCAGGCAAACCGAAGUGUUGGACACUCAUGCUAUACACUGUAUCUACCACAGCUACUUCCCUCAGGCACUGAGUAACUUUCUCUAUGGUGGUCCAUUUGCCUGGGUUACGUAUCAGG
ensembl:lncRNA